CCACCUCCGCCUCCGCCUCCCCCUCCCCCACCUUCACCAUUGGCUCCUCCCCCUCCUCCACCCAAUCAAAGAGCCCCUCCGCCACCUCCUCCCAAGGUUAAAUCCUCAGAAAAGGAACAUUCACACCACCCUCAAGACCACCAUAAGUCUAAUGUUAAAUUAAGCCCACCACAAAAGGAAACGAAGCUAAAUUGGGGGAAGAGACUUGGGUUAAUGUUUGUGGGUAUUGCCGUCAUCUUGCAGAUCUGUGUGGUGGCGUUUUUAAUAAUCAAGAGAAGGCAAUUGUUGAAAGCGCAUUCUGGAUUUUGAAGACACAUUUCCAUUUGAUGAAUCUGUUGUUACUUCAAUUUCUUUGACUAAUUAUUAAUAGCUGGUGGAGCAUGUUUUUAUAUAGCUAGAGUUAUACAGAUUGAGAUUCUUUGAACAGCGGAUUUGGCAACGAAUAUGGCACUCCAUGGAUUACAAAAAUUAAGGAUUCAGCAGAAGAUUGGUGUCGACAUUUCUGUUUUUGCUCUUGUAAAUUGGUGAUAAAGGAAAGUUUUAAGAUGACAAGUUGCCUCAUUUAUCAUUUGUACGGAAGUGGCCUGGAUUUGUUUUGGAGGACAUUAAAGAUUUACCUAUUUUCUGUUUGGUAAGGUGUGGACCUUGUAGCUUGUAGGGAGGCAAGGAUACUUGUUGUUAGAGGCAUGACUUUUCAUUGUCGAGCUGCAAUGAUGAUUUGUACCAUAGAGAUUGAACACCAAGAAAACCAGUUAUUUAUAACUAUAAUAUUGUCAGGCAGAAUUACUUGGUUAUAUAUAUAUAGAGAAUGUAUCUGACUUGAACAGUUAUAAACAUCACUAAAUACAAGUUAUCUUUAUUAUCUAUUCUGAA